rnacentral:rRNA from 1 species
GACGAACGCUGGCGGCGUGCCUAAUACAUGCAAGUCGAACGCUUUUUCUUUCAUUGGAGCUUGCUCCACCGAAAGAAAAAGAGUGGCGAACGGGUGAGUAACACGUGGGUAACCUGCCCAUCAGAAGGGGAUAACACUUGGAAACAGGUGCUAAUACCGUAUAACAAGUAAAACCGCGUGGUUUUACUUUGAAAGGCGCUUUUGCGUCACUGAUGGAUGGACCCGCGGUGCAUUAGCUAGUUGGUGAGGUAACGGCUCACCAAGGCAACGAUGCAUAGCCGACCUGAGAGGGUGAUCGGCCACAUUGGGACUGAGACACGGCCCAAACUCCUACGGGAGGCAGCAGUAGGGAAUCUUCGGCAAUGGACGAAAGUCUGACCGAGCAACGCCGCGUGAGUGAAGAAGGUUUUAGGAUCGUAAAACUCUGUUGUUAGAGAAGAACAAGGAUGAGAGUAAAAUGUUCAUCCCUUGACGGUAUCUAACCAGAAAGCCACGGCUAACUACGUGCCAGCAGCCGCGGUAAUACGUAGGUGGCAAGCGUUGUCCGGAUUUAUUGGGCGUAAAGCGAGCGCAGGCGGUUUCUUAAGUCUGAUGUGAAAGCCCCCGGCUCAACCGGGGAGGGUCAUUGGAAACUGGGAAACUUGAGUGCAGAAGAGGAGAGUGGAAUUCCAUGUGUAGCGGUGAAAUGCGUAGAUAUAUGGAGGAACACCAGUGGCGAAGGCGGCUCUCUGGUCUGUAACUGACGCUGAGGCUCGAAAGCGUGGGGAGCAAACAGG